AAUCAACGCUGGCGGCGCGCUUAACACAUGCAAGUCGGACGAGAAAGUGGAGCAAUCCAUGAGUAAAGUGGCGUACGGGUGAGUAACACGUGGGUAAUCUACCUUUUGGUGGGGAAUAACCCUGGGAAACCGGGGCUAAUACCGCAUAAGCUCGUCACUGUAAAGGUGACGUGGAAAGGAGCAAUUCGCCGAAAGAGGAG
rnacentral:rRNA from 1 species